rnacentral:rRNA from 1 species
GUGCCCGUACCGCAAACCGACACUGGUAGGCAAGGAUAAAUGUCCCAAGGUGAUCGAGUAAUCCCUCGUUAAGGAACUCGGCAAUCUAACCCCGUAACUUAGGGAGAAGGGGUGCCCUUCCUUUAGGAAGGGUGGCACUAAAUUGGCCCAGGCGACUGUUUAACAAAAACAUAGGUCUCUGCUAAAGCGAAAGCUGAAAUAUAGGGGCUGAUACCUGCCCAGUGCUGGAAGGUUAAGGAGCGAGGUUAAUCCUUCUUCUGAAGGAUGAAGCUUCAAACUGAAGCCCCAGUGAACGGCGGCCGUAACUAUAACGGUCCUAAGGUAGCGAAAUCCCUUGUCGGGUAAGUUCCGACCCGCACGAAUGGUGUAACGAUCUGGGCGCUG